rnacentral:rRNA from 1 species
UACGAAGGGUGCAAACGUUGCUCGGAAUUAUUGGGCGUAAAGCGCACGUAGGCGGCUUAGCAAGUCGGAUGUGAAAUCCCUCGGCUUAACCGGGGAACUGCAUCUGAUACUGGAUGGCUCGAGUUUGGGAGAGGGAUGCGGAAUUCCAGGUGUAGCGGUGAAAUGCGUAGAUAUCUGGAGGAACACCGGUGGCGAAGGCGGCAUCCUGGACCAACACUGACGCUGAUGAGCGAAAGCCAGGGGAGCAAACGGG